ACAUCCAGAGAACUUAGCAGAGAUGCUUUGGUGCCUUCGGGAACUCUGAGACAGGUGCUGCAUGGCUGUCGUCAGCUCGUGUUGUGAAAUGUUGGGUUAAGUCCCGNAACGAGUGCAACCCUUAUCCUUUGUUGCCAGCGGCUCGGCCGGGAACUCAAAGGAGACUGCCGGUGAUAAACCGGAGGAAGGUGGGGAUGACGUCAAGUCAUCAUGGCCCUUACGGCCAGGGCUACACACGUGCUACAAUGGCGCAUACAAAGAGAAGCGACCUCGCGAGAGCAAGCGGACCUCAUAAAGUGCGUCGUAGUCCGGAUUGGAGUCUGCAACUCGACUCCAUGAAGUCGGAAUCGCUAGUAAUCGUAGAUCAGAAUGCUACGGUGAAUACGUUCCCGGGCCUUGUACACACCGCCCGUCACACCAUGGGAGUGGGUUGCAAAAGAAGUAGGUAGCUUAACCUUCGGGAGGGCGCUUACCACUUUGUGAUUCAUGACUGGGGUGAAGUCGUAACAAGGUAGGCGUACGUGU
rnacentral:rRNA from 1 species